rnacentral:rRNA from 1 species
UCGUAACAAGGUCUCCGUUGGUGAACCAGCGGAGGGAUCAUUACUGAGUUUACGCUCUAUAACCCUUUGUGAACAUACCUAUAACUGUUGCUUCGGCGGGUAGGGUCUCCGCGACCCUCCCGGCCUCCCGCCUCCGGGCGGGUCGGCGCCCGCCGGAGGAUAACCAAACUCUGAUUUAACGACGUUUCUUCUGAGUGGUACAAGCAAAUAAUCAAAACUUUUAACAACGGAUCUCUUGGUUCUGGCAUCGAUGAAGAACGCAGCGAAAUGCGAUAAGUAAUGUGAAUUGCAGAAUUCAGUGAAUCAUCGAAUCUUUGAACGCACAUUGCGCCCGCCAGCAUUCUGGCGGGCAUGCCUGUUCGAGCGUCAUUUCAACCCUCAAGCUCUGCUUGGUGUUGGGGCCCUACAGCUGAUGUAGGCCCUCAAAGGUAGUGGCGGACCCUCCCGGAGCCUCCUUUGCGUAGUAACUUUACGUCUCGCACUGGGAUCCGGAGGGACUCUUGCCGUAAAACCCCCCAAUUUUCCAAAGGUUGACCUCGGAUCAGGUAGGAAUACCCGCUGAACUUAAGCAUAUCAAAA